rnacentral:rRNA from 1 species
UACGUAGGGGGCAAGCGUCAUCCGGAUUUACUGGGUGUAAAGGGGGCGCAGACGGCAAUGCAAGCCAGGAGUGAAAGCCCGGGGCCCAACCCCGGGACUGCUCUUGGAACUGCAUGGCUGGAGUACAGGAGGGGCAGGCGGAAUUCCUAGUGUAGCGGUGAAAUGCGUCGAUAUUAGGAGGAAUACCGGUGGCGAAGGCGGCCUGCUGGACUGUGACUGACGUUGAGGCCCGAAGGCGUGGGGAGCAAACAGG